rnacentral:lncRNA from 1 species
UAACAACCUGCCGUCCGGCUUUUGUGGGUUGACAAUGACACGGUUACCUCUGCUUUGGCCUUCACUUUCCAUGAACAAAUUUAUUUUUACAAAAAGAAAACAUAGGUGAUCUGUUAGAGUAAUGGACAACAAAACUAAAGCCAAAUAGUAUUUCCACUGCUUCCAGCAUGUGGUCAAUCCAUUGGACCAUUAGAGGAUCAUCCAAAAUGAGGUCUCUACAUAGUAGGUACUCCCUCUCGCAUAUGGGUUUUCUGGUCUGUUGCACUCAUCCCAAAUAUAAUGUUGGUUUUUCCCCUUGCAAAAUGAGGGACCUUAAUCCCUUGGGGCGUGCACAGGCCGUGCCCUGCCUAAACCAUAUUUUAUGCCACAGUCAUGUAAGUACAUAAUUCAACAAAAUGUUAAUUUAAUUAAAUUAUGAAUAUGAAAUUUUUGGUGGCGUUGCCCUGCCAUGCCGAACCGUGCAGCAGGACCAAAGAACAGGACCAUGUUUUGAAUGGCACCAAAAACUCAACGCGCUUCGACUAAACAAAUUCAUUUAUAUUUUGCACACGGUGGAUGGGUGUGUGGGAAACGCUCUGUUCCCUCCCCCCUCUUUAUAUGGCAUUUCCGAAUGUGCAAACACACAAACAUGAACUCAAUACCCAUGCCGUGCGAUUUGCUAUACAAAAUGUUUCUCACAGCCGCAUGUGGCAAAGGUAGAAUGGCCAGCAGGAGCAGCAGCCAUCGACAUCGCCAUCGCCAGUGCCAUUGCCAGUCCCAGUGCCACAUGUUGAUAUUGCAAACUAAAAUUAUAUAAUGCAGUGCAUGGUAAACAAGCCGCGGCACACAUACACACAUGGCUGCAUAAAUAAACUGAAACUGGAACCGAAAAUUCGAAGAAAACAACAUCAUUAAAGGAGUCUCUCUGCACGGUACGGUUCAUGGCGAUACUACACCAGUAAACAAACCCACAAACCGAAAUCCCAAAAAUAUAUAUUAAAAAAAGAGGAAGAGAAAGCGCUGGCUAAUAGCCUGAAAUUCAGAAUUACUAAAAACCAAAUGUACAGCCGCAUUAUAAACAUGCAGCCAGGCAACUACUAAAAAUAAUGAGCCAGCUGACUGAGUGUUUGGUCAGCACAGAGCGGCAGCUCUACACCUCCCGCGUUGUUCAGUGCCUGAUCCAGCGCUCAGAAUUAAUGAAAUUUUAAAUUGGAAACUGCGAAAUAUACUUGAAAUUUGGAUAGCGGGGCAGGAAAUCAGCAGCAGAGAGGAGUUACCACGGAAUUGAGUUGCUGAGCCAGGCCAAAAGCUAUCGGUGCAAAAUCUGCGUGGCCAGCACAAAAGGGAAAACACCCAAAGACCCAUCAUAAAUUCAAUUUUUUUAUGUGGCAACUAAGACAAAAUGCCAAGAGUUGACAUUAAGCAGCAAGAUGACGACGACUGCUCGCUUGGAUUCGAACUCGGACUCCGACGACUGCUGCUUCUGCUUCUGCGACUGCAAUGACAGCAAUGACGACAAGUGGGAAAGGACAUCAAGUGAAAUGCAACCGAGUCUUCAGAUUCAAUGCGCGUGACAGAAACCACAGGGCUGUCAGCAGGGCUGCUUCUACUCCAACUUCUCCUCCACCAUUGCCACAUCUUGCGCUGGUGCUGGCGUUGGCCAUUACCAGGCGGCAGUCGCAGUCAUCUUCGUUUGAUAUGGAACUCUGGUCGGGUUGGAUUGGGGUUGGGGUUGACAACUGCCGUAGCUGUAGCUCUAGCCGUAACUGUAUAUGGCAGCGUCCUUAUUGUGGGCUCGCUGUUCGCUUCCUCAGAGGCUCCUCCUGCUUCUCCACUGUGCAUUUG